UAUAAACAUCACUCUGACAAGUAUAGUUUCCCAAUUCAAGUUCAGGAGCACCAUAGCCGGAUCCUUGCAGCUGUCUUAUGGAAUCAGAUGACAUCAGAGGCGCCAAACCACAAUCUGACAUAUGUACAGCAAGUUCAUCAUCAAGGAGAACAUUACUGGACUUGAAGUUCAGGUGGACAAUAGGUGGUUGACAAACUUCAUGCAAGUACUCUAAUGCUCUUGCUGCUUGA
rnacentral:misc_RNA from 1 species